rnacentral:rRNA from 1 species
AGGAUGAACGCUGGCGGCGUGCCUAACACAUGCAAGUCGAACGUCCUGUCUCGCAAGAGGCAGGGAGUGGCGGACGGGUGAGUACCACGUGGGUCAUCUACCGUGAGGUGAGGAAUACCGGCGAGAAAUCGCCGACAAGACCGCAUAGGCUUCCUUCGGUAGCCCGAGGGAAGCAAAGUUCCGCCGCAAGGAGGGACGCUGGAAGAGGGGCCUGUGGCCGAUUAGCUAGUUGGGGGGUAACGGCCUCCCAAGGCGACGAUCGGUAGCUGGUCUGAGAGGACGAUCAGCCACACUGGGAUUGAGAACGGCCCAGACUCCUACGGGGGGCAGCAGUGAGGAAUAUUGGACAAUGGGCGAAAGCCUGAUCCAGCAAUGCCGCGUGAGUGAUGAAGGCCUUAGGGUUGUAAAGCUCUUUUACCCGGGAUGAUAAUGACAGUACCGGAGAAUAGCUCCGGCUAACUCCGUGCCAGCAGCCGCGGU